rnacentral:rRNA from 1 species
UACGUAGGUGGCAAGCGUUGUCCGGAAUUAUUGGGCGUAAAGCGCGCGCAGGCGGUCUCUUAAGUCUGAUGUGAAAUCCCGUGGCUUAACCACGGGCGGUCAUUGGAAACUGGGGGACUUGAGUGCAGAAGAGAAGAGCGGAAUUCCAUGUGUAGCGGUGAAAUGCGUAGAGAUAUGGAGGAACACCAAUGGCGAAGGCAGCCUUCUGGGCCAACACUGACGCUCAUGCACGAAAGCGUGGGGAGCAAACAGG